CAAGCUUCAAACUUAAAAGACCUGGCGGUACUCUAAAUAAACCUAGAGGGGCCUGUCUAGUAAUCGAUAAUCCACGAAAAACCCAACCUCUUCUGGCCAAAUCAGCCUGUAUACCGCCGUCGAAAGCUAAUUUUUCAAGAAAUAUAAAGCUAAAAAGUACAGUUAACUAACACGUCAGGUCAAGGUGUAGCACAUGAAGAGGAUAAGAUUGGCCACAGUA
rnacentral:rRNA from 1 species